rnacentral:rRNA from 1 species
AGGAUGAACGCUGGCGGCGUGCUUAACACAUGCAAGUCGAACGAUGAUCCCCGCUUGCGGGGGGAUUAGUGGCGAACGGGUGAGUAACACGUGAGUAACCUGCCCUUGACUUUGGGAUAAGCCUGGGAAACUGGGUCUAAUACCGGAUAUUGACUUCCCUCCGCAUGGUGGGUGGUUGAAAGCUUUUGCGGUUUUGGAUGGACUCGCGGCCUAUCAGCUUGUUGGUGGGGUAAUGGCCCACCAAGGCGACGACGGGUAGCCGGCCUGAGAGGGUGACCGGCCACACUGGGACUGAGACACGGCCCAGACUCCUACGGGAGGCAGCAGUGGGGAAUAUUGCACAAUGGGCGAAAGCCUGAUGCAGCGACGCCGCGUGAGGGAUGGACGGCCUUCGGGUUGUAAACCUCUUUCAGUAGGGAACAAGGCCGCACGUUGUGUGGUUGAGGGUACCUGCAGAAGAAGCGCCGGCUAACUACGUGCCAGCAGCCGCGGU